UCAAGACAUCUAAGUACAGUAAAUGUUUUAACAUAAAAUGCAGCCAAUCAAAAACAUUUACAAACUCCCCCUUUGGCAAUUUUUUGGCUAAAACAACUUGGCAUCACAAUAGAGUUCACAGCAGCAGAAAGCACACAUCCAAGCAGAGAAUCAAAUUAGCUAAUACACUUAGCAAACGUAGAAGUUAAACUUCAAACAACAGCAGCAUAAGCGAAGAUCAAGCAGAGAGCAAACAACAACAUAACAACAACA
rnacentral:lncRNA from 1 species